rnacentral:rRNA from 1 species
UACGGGGGGGCAAGCGUUGUCCGGAAUCAUUGGGCGUAAAGCGCGUGUAGGCGGCCCGGUAAGUCCGCUGUGAAAGUCCAGGGCUCAACCCUGGGAUGCCGGUGGAUACUGUCGGGCUAGAGUCCGGAAGAGGCGAGUGGAAUUCCUGGUGUAGCGGUGGAAUGCGCAGAUAUCAGGAGGAACACCGAUGGCGAAGGCAGCUCGCUGGGACGGUACUGACGCUGAGGCGCGAAAGCGUGGGGAGCGAACAGG